AUUGAACGCUGGCGGAAUGCUUUACACAUGCAAGUCGAACGGCAGCACGGACUUCGGUCUGGUGGCGAGUGGCGAACGGGUGAGUAAUACAUCGGAACGUGCCCAGUCGUGGGGGAUAACGUAGCGAAAGCUACGCUAAUACCGCAUACGAUCUAAGGAUGAAAGCGGGGGAUCGCAAGACCUCGCGCGAUUGGAGCGGCCGAUGGAAGAUUAGGUAGUUGGUAGGGUAAAGGCCUACCAAGCCGGCGAUCUGUAGCUGGUCUGAGAGGAUGAUCAGCCACACGGGGACUGAGACACGGCCCAGACGCCUGCGGGAGGCAGCAGUGGGGAAUUUUGGAGAAUGGACGCAAGUCUGAUCCAGCCAUUCCGCGUGCAGGAUGAAGUCCCUCGGGUUGUAAACUGCUUUUGUACAGAACGAAAAGGCUCUGGUUAAUACCUGGGGCUCAUGACGGUACUGUAAGAAUAAGCACCGGCUAACUACGUGCCAGCCGCCGCCGUAA
rnacentral:rRNA from 1 species